AUUGAACGCUGGCGGCAGGCCUAACACAUGCAAGUCGAGCGAGCGGCGGACGGGUGAGUGAUGUAUGGGGAUCUGGCUGAUGGAGGGGGAUAACUACGGGAACCGGUAGCUACUACCGCAUACCACACGAUGGACCCAAGGGGGAUUAGCUUGUAGGUGAGGUAACGGAUCACCUAGGCGACGAUCCCUAGCUGGUCUGAGAGGAUGAUCAGCCACACUGGGACUGAGACACGGCCCAGACUCCUACGGGAGGCAGCAGUGGGGAAUAUUGCGCAAUGGGCGAAAGCCUGAUGCAGCCAUGCCGCGUGUAUGAAGAAGGCCUUCGGGUUGUAAAGUUCUUUCAGUCGGGAGGCGUUACCGACAGAAGAAGCACCGGCUAACUCCGUGCCAGCAGCCGCGGUAAUUC
rnacentral:rRNA from 1 species